AGAGUUUGAUCCUGGCUCAGGAUGAACGCUGGCGGUGUGCCUAACCUAUGCAAGUCGAACGAGGCUUCGAGCCGAGUGGCGGACGAGUGAGUAACACGUACCUAAUCUACCUAUAAGUGGGGAACAACCGCCCGAAAGGGUGGCUAAUACCGCAUGUGCUCUAAGGAGUAAAGCUUUUGCGCGUAUAGAUGAGGGUGCGGCCUAUCAGCUAGUUGGUGAGGUAAUUGCUUACCAAGGCUAAGACGGGUAGCUGGUCUGAGAGAAUGAUCAGCCACGCUGGAACUGAGAUACGGCCCAGACUCCUACGGGAGCCAGCAAGUGGGAAUAUUGCACAAUGGGUCAAAGCCUGAUGCAGCGACACCCCGUGAAGGAUGAAGGUUUUCGGAUCGUAAACUUCUUUUAUAGAGCACCAAGAUAUGAGGGCUCUACGAACAAGCACCUGCUAACUACGUGCCAGCAGCCGCGGUAAUACGUGGGGUGCAAGCGUUAUCCGGAAUUAUUGGGCGUAAAGAGAUGCGUAGGUGGUCAGUAAAGUUUUUGGUGAAAUCCCCGGGCUCAACCCGGGAACUGCCAAGAAUACUCACUGACUUCGAGGGGAUCAGGGGGUGCUGGAACUCGUGGUGUAGUAGUAAAAUGCGUUGAUAUCACGAGGAACACCAAAGGCGAAGGCAGGCACCUGGGAUUCUCCUGACACUGAGGCUCGAAAGCGUGGGGAGCGAAACGGAUUAGAUACCCGUGUAGUCCACGCCGUAAACGAUGGAUACUAGAUGCUUGGGGUAUUGACCCCCUGGGCGUCGUAAGCUAACGCGUUAAGUAUCCCGCCUGGGGAGUACGGUCGCAAGACUAAAACUCAAAGGAAUUGACGGGGGACCGCACAAGCGGUGGAGCGCGUGGUUUAAAUCCGAUGCUAAGCGAAGAACCUCACCGAGGUUUGACAUGCUACUGCUAAGCCUAUGAAAGUAGGCCUCCUUCGAGGGUGUAGCACAGGUGUUGCACGGCUGUCGUCAGCUCGUGUCGUGAGAUGUUGGCUUAAGUGCUAUAACGAGCGCAACCCCUGCGAUAAGUUGUAUCACUCUUAUCGGACUGCCUGUAUCUUAUACAGGAGGAAGGCGGGGAUGACGUCAAGUCAGCGUGGCCCUUAUACCUCGGGCUACACACGCGCUACAAUGGUAGGGAACAACGGGUUGCAAGCAAGCAAUUGUAAGCUAAUCCCUCAAAACCUAUCUCACUUCGGAUCGUCGGCUGAAACUCGCCGGCGUCAAGUACGAAUCGCUAGUAAACGCGGGUCAGCACACCGCGUUGAAUACGUUCUCGGUCCUUGUACACACCGCCCGUCAAGUUGGGAAAGUUAGGGGCACCCGAAGAUCCAUUAGCAAAGCUCGCAAGAGAAGCGUGGGUCGAAGGUGAAACUAGCGAUCAAAGCUAGGUCGUAACAAGGUAACC
rnacentral:rRNA from 1 species